GGAAACGCCUCGACAAGGCGACCGGACGAGCACCGCCGUACCCGGCAGACGACAAGACGGCGCGUA
rnacentral:ncRNA from 1 species